AUUGAACGCUGGCGGCAGGCCUAACACAUGCAAGUCGAACGAGCGGCGGACGGGUGAGUAAUGUAUGGGCAUCUGCCUGAUGGAGGGGGAUAACUACUGGAAACGGUGGCUACUACCGCAUACUAUCAGAUGUGCCCAGAUGGGAUUAGCUAGUUGGUGGGGUAAAGGCUCACCAAGGCGACGAUCCCUAGCUGGUCUGAGAGGAUGAUCAGCCACACUGGAACGGAGACACGGUCCAGACUCCUACGGGAGGCAGCAGUGGGGAAUAUUGCACAAUGGGCGCAAGCCUGAUGCAGCCAUGCCGCGUGUAUGAAGAAGGCCUUCGGGUUGUAAAGUACUUUCAGCGGGGAGGCGUUACCCGCAGAAGAAGCACCGGCUAACUCCGUGCCAGCAGCCGCGGUAAUUC
rnacentral:rRNA from 1 species